rnacentral:rRNA from 1 species
UACGGAGGGUGCAAGCGUUAUCCGGAUUUACUGGGGUUAAAGGGUGCGUAGGCGGGUUGAUAAGUCAGGGGUGAAACCUCCGAGCUUAACUCGGAAACUGCCUUUGAUACUAUCAGUCUUGAAUUCAGUUGAGGUGGGCGGAAUGUGUCGUGUAGCGGUGAAAUGCUUAGAUAUGACACAGAACACCAAUUGCGAAGGCAGCUCGCUAAACUGACAUUGACGCUGAGGCACGAAAGCGUGGGGAGCAAACAGG